CUUUCUUUGCUGGCGACCGGCGCACGGGUGAGUAACACGUAUCCAACCUGCCCUUUACUCGGGGAUAGCCUUUCGAAAGAAAGAUUAAUACCCGAUAGCAUAAUGAUUCCGCAUGGUUUCAUUAUUAAAGGAUUCCGGUAAAGGAUGGGGAUGCGUCCCAUUAGGUUGUUGGUGAGGUAACGGCUCACCAAGCCUUCGAUGGAUAGGGGUUCUGAGAGGAAGGUCCCCCACAUUGGAACUGAGACACGGUCCAA
rnacentral:rRNA from 1 species